rnacentral:miRNA from 1 species
UCACAGCCCCGGCCUGGCCUGG